UACGAAGGGGGCUAGCGUUGUUCGGAUUUACUGGGCGUAAAGCGCACGUAGGCGGAUCUUUAAGUCAGAGGUGAAAUCCCAAGGCUCAACCUUGGAACUGCCUUUGAUACUGGGGAUCUUGAGUCCGGGAGAGGUGAGUGGAACUGCGAGUGUAGAGGUGAAAUUCGUAGAUAUUCGCAAGAACACCAGUGGCGAAGGCGGCUCACUGGCCCGGUACUGACGCUGAGGUGCGAAAGCGUGGGAGCAAACAGG
rnacentral:rRNA from 1 species